AACACUGCAAUGGGAUACCAGCUGCAGCGGCUGCCAUGGCAGGGCUGGUCCCACCGGAGGAGGCACCCUGGCACCCCUGACUCCCAGGAUGAGUCCCAGGGAACACCAGGGUGGAGUCAGGGGCAGGGAGACUCUUGGGGACUCUGAGGGAGCCACAGCCCAGGGAGACCUCCCAAGAAGACCUCCCAAGAAUCAAGCCCAGCCUGUGGACCUGGGGUGCUGAUGUGAGUAACGAGAGCUCAUUUCCCUGCCAAGGUUCUGCUUUCCGGCACAGCUUCACCCACCCAGGGUCUGUGGCUCAGCCCUUCCCACAUGCUUUCUUGCAGGCCUGAGUGUUCCUCUUCUGGGACCACUGGUCUGAGAAUCUUUACAUGGCUGAGAAGAAAAUCCCUCACAAUUUUUGGCCCUUAAGCUUUGCAAAGUAGUUUCACCCCUCUGACUUCAGCAAAACAGGAAUAUCUUUGCUGUCUUUUGAGAUGAAGACAGAGAAGACCAGAGAGGGGAGGGAACAAGACCAAGGUCACACAGCCAGCGGCAAGGCAGGGUGGAGUCAGGAUGGGACCCCAUCCUGGACUUUACCUUGAGCCUGGCUGCCCCCUGGGAGGGCUGGUUCUCUGGACUAGGUCCAUCUGACAUUACUCCCUCAUAUGUGGACAGGGACACUGAGGUCCAGGGACAUCCACCAGCUAGUAAGCAUAGAGACUGGGCUUGUAGCCUCGCAUUCUGAGAAGUUUCGCUGCUCCUACCAAACCAUGAGCCAGUACCAUGAUUCCAUAAAGCAAGCCUGAGGGACUUACCUUAUGCUCCAAGGUUAAAGUAUAAGUCUCUCCCUUGGAAGCAGAGUCUUCUGCCUACUGGAAAAACAGAGAAGAGGGCAGCUGGAGCCAGAAACGCAGAAGCAAGAGGGUCAGAGGUUUUCCCAGGUAGUACCAAGCCCCAGCUACACAGCGCAGCCCUCCAAAGCGCCUCCAGCCUCUGCUAUUAGAGCUGUGUGGCCCAGGGCAAGUCACUUUGGCUCUCAGAGCCCUAGGCUCUGCAGCUAUCAGGAGCUGAGGUGACAAAGGGGGUGGCUAUUGAGUCAGGAGCCCUGGAAGGAACCGCUUCCGAGUUCUGGGAAGCAGCUUCCCUGGCAUGGCCUGGUGAUGGAGGUGUUUACAUCCCUUGUCUAUCUCCAGCUUGGUUCAAAUCCACCUUUCAACAAUUUACUACUGUGGUUGGGCACCAAAACAAAAGUGCUGUGGGUGCUGAGGACACCUGCAAAGACGACUUUCACGAAGCCUUGGUAAGGGGUAACAGCAUGAGGGCACGCAAACAGCAUCUCAGGACUGCCUGCUCCGAUACUUUGGUUCUGGUGUUUGCUAGAAAGUUCUUCUCAGCUGGGUGCCGUGACUCACACCUGUAAUCCCCAGCACUUUGAAAGGCCAAGGCAGGCAGAUCGUUUCAGAUCAGGAGUUCGAGACCUGCCUGGGCAACAUGGCAAAACCCUGUCUCUACUAAAAAUACAAAAAGUUAGCCCGGCAUGUUGGUGCGCAUCUGUGGUCCCAGCUGCUCGGGGGGCUAGGGUAGGAGGAUUGCUUGAACCCGGGAGGCGGAGGGUGCAGUGAGCUGAGACUGUGCCACUGCACUCCAGCCUGGGUGACAGAAUGAGACCCUGUCUCAAAAAAAGAAAAAGAAAGAAAAAAAAGUCUUCUCAUGACCCUGGGAUUGUGGAAGUCUCAUUUGUGCCCCAUCCUUCUCCCUGGGUGGCAGUCAUGAGGAUCUCACCAGACAUUUUUGAAAACAUACUGAGAUAAAAUGAGGCCACACAGGAGGGUGAAUUUUUUAAUGGAUUCCAAGAAUUAGGGUCGCAAUGAUGCCCUGUCAUUUAAGGUUCU
rnacentral:lncRNA from 1 species